rnacentral:rRNA from 1 species
UCCAGACUCCUACGGGAGGCAGCAGUGAGGAAUAUUGGUCAAUGGGCGAGAGCCUGAACCAGCCAAGUCGCGUGAAGGAUGACGGCCCUACGGGUUGUAAACUUCUUUUGUCAGGGAGCAAUUGGGUCCACGCGUGGGCUUAGCGAGAGUGCCUGAAGAAAAAGCAUCGGCUAACUCCGUGCCAGCAGCCGCGGUAAUACGUAGGGGGCAAGCGUUAUCCGGAUUUACUGGGUGUAAAGGGAGCGUAGACGGCGACGCAAGUCUGAAGUGAAAUGCCAGUGCUCAACACUGGAACUGCUUUGGAAACUGUGUGGCUAGAGUGCAGGAGAGGUAAGUGGAAUUCCUAGUGUAGCGGUGAAAUGCGUAGAUAUUAGGAGGAACACCGGUGGCGAAGGCGGCUUACUGGACUGUAACUGACGUUGAGGCUCGAAGGCGUGGGGAGCAAACAGGAUUAGAUACCCCAGUA